UACAGAGGGUGCGAGCGUUGUUCGGAAUUACUGGGCGUAAAGCGCGCGCAGGCGGAUCCUGCAAGUCUGGAGUGAAAUCUCACCGCUCAACGGUGAGGCUGCUUUGGAUACUGCGGAUCUGGAGACCGGUAGAGGCUGGUAGAAUUGCAGGUGUAGCGGUGGAAUGCGUAGAUAUCUGGAGGAACACCGGUGGCGAAGGCGGCAUCCUGGACCGACACUGACACUGAGGAGCGAAAGCCAGGGGAGCAAACGGG
rnacentral:rRNA from 1 species